GAAUAUUGAAAGGAUCAUAGCCUCUUUUAUUAAUGAAAUCUGGUACAUUUACAAAAUUCGAAAAUACAAUUCUGGAAUUACAAUACCAUUUAUGAAAUUUGAGUCAAAAGCACUUCUUACAUGACCAAUGUACUUGCACAAAUCAAAUUGGGAAACCGAACUAUAAAGAUAAUAUUUAUUAAUCUUCCAUUGAGGGGCACCAUCAUUCUUUUCUUGUUCAUCAAUUACGAUACCUUUUCAUCCUUCGAUAUAUUAAGGUGGACCAUCAUUCCUACAAAACGUUAAAUAAUUUAUGAAUCUCUGUCCACGUAUACAAAUUGGCAAAAGGUAUAAAGGCAGAUAAAAUAGGUAUAUGAGAACAACUUAUUCUACAUGGUCACGCCGAUUCGAUGAGUCACUUUUCUACAUGGCUUCAUCAUUAAAAAAUAAUACUUGCCAAGCACCAGCUUCAUGUUUACCUAAGUACCUGCAAAGUGAGGAUGAACGAAGUCAUAUUUGACCACUUCAUUCAAAAUAGACAUUGUUGCAAAGUAAAUACUAAAAGGAACUGCUUGCAUAUAUCCUGAGCGACAAAAGAGAACAUAAUUAGAAGGCCUUAAUGAGUAUAGACAGAGAGAGAAUCCAUAUAUACUAAUAUGAAUGAUCAUAACUAAAUUUAAAUGCAAACAUCCAUGACUCUUAUUAAAAUCAGACAAGAGAACCUACCGCCGGGAGCAACUGACAGAUACAAUUAAAAAAGAAACCACAGUUGUGCCAAUUUUUUCUUCUUUAAUUACAGCUAUAAAGUGCAGAUAUAAUAUGUUGGAAAUGACAAUGUCAUGCGUGGUGCUGUAUUCCAAUUCUACACACAACAAUAACCUAGUAUAAUAGGAUUAGAACUUGUAACCGAGUAGGUUAGCUUCUGUUAGUCGUAACCAUAAUAUAUACGCAUGCCCAACAUUUGUAAACAUUAAAUAAUGAGUAGAAAUAAAGAAAAGAACCAGGCUUGAUACAAGCUAGUUGCAAACUUGCAAAACACCCAGUUUUUUCUUGUGUACGUGUGUACUAGUACGAGUACGUUACCAGCCGUGAGGAUCGAUCAAGCAAAGAUUGAUCCGGAGCUAUGUACAUGCAUGUUGCUUCAGGCUAGAAUCAAUUAUCUUGAUGCUAGCUUUUGUACAGUGAGCUGCUUCGGCCAGUUUGGGGCAAGAAUCAAACUGGUUGUUUUCUUUUACCAAUUCAUCUGCAUAUCCACAAUAAAUUUCCAUGACAAAAUAAAUAAAAUCUAUUGACUAUUAUACAGCUAGCCUACACCCUAGAAAAUGUGAAGUUAACCUUUCAUGAGUAUCUUAUAGACUAAUUUGGUCAUAAAUGAUACCUCACGCAUUGGCAUCACUGUCUGCAGGAAACAAAUACCUUCUUCUCUGAAAUUAAAGUUCAGAAUGAACUUAAUACAUUUUUCCAGACCAGCGAAAAUUGUGACUCUCAAAAGGAUUUUGCUGACCGUAGUAUUCAGACCUAUUUUGAAAUAAAAGGAACAAAUCAGCACCAGUUGAUUCAAGAACAACCAGACCUACGCAUAAUCAUCUUUUCUAUACAAAACAACUUAAACGAUUGGGAUAUUCCUAAAAUACCUUAAUUGGAGAAAGAUCAUAAAAUAGAAACAUGUCAGGAAGAGCUUGUACUCCAAUUCUGUUCUUCCACACAAAUCUGUAGCAAGGAAUAUAACAUCAUCUUCAGGGUCGGGCCUUCCUUGUUGAUGCAUCUCUAUCUUGUCGCGCAGAUCCUACUCCCACGCGAAGAAUACUCGGCCCCUGCACCCGCCGCUUAUCCAUCUUCCUCACCCGUAUCCCUUACACCACCUGGAAUUUCGAUUAAGGGUUAGCCAGUACCUCUCCUUCUUGGCUUGUUCCUCCCGAUGGACAUGGAUAAGAAUGAUAUGGAUGUGCUGAUGUGUUGUAUCUCAGAAGCAGGGUGGACGAGGCGCAUAACCGAAGGUUCAGGUGAUGCUCGUGGCGGCGAAUCGCUUGGAAGGGGAGAGGUGAGAGAGAGAUGGCAGGCCAUGUGGAAGAUGAAACGAGAGAGGGUCAGAUUAUGAAGGUGAGGACAUUAAAGGAGAGGUGAUUGGGUCAAUAACGACCAGACCCACG
rnacentral:lncRNA from 1 species